rnacentral:rRNA from 1 species
UACGAAGGGGGCUAGCGUUGUUCGGAAUUACUGGGCGUAAAGCGCACGUAGGCGGAUACUUAAGUCAGGGGUGAAAUCCCGGGGCUCAACCCCGGAACUGCCUUUGAUACUGGGUAUCUCGAGUCCGGAAGAGGUGAGUGGAAUUCCGAGUGUAGAGGUGAAAUACGUAGAUAUCUGGAGGAACACCGGUGGCGAAGGCGGCAUCCUGGACCGAUACUGACACUGAGGAGCGAAAGCCAGGGGAGCAAACGGG